UCUCAUGAGACUGCUGGCUGCUGCUCCGAGCAGUCACUCCGGACUGAAGUCUCAGUCAUUUGAUAAUCUCUUUCCCAUUGAAACCGAGUCGCUGUGCCGUGUGAGUGACAAAAACCACUGGGAAUUCUACUGUGUACUUACACUGUUAAUGGAGGAAAUAACAGUGAAUCCAGUAUUGUAGGGCGGAACAGUUCGUCUCAUCAAGUGGGACGGGGGUGUUAUUUCAGAGGAGCUUUCAGUUUAGUUUUUCUAGAUUAGCAGCCUUUUCAGGCCACUUUAUGGUAACGGUGCUGAAAUCUUGGAGCCGCCUCAGCAGAGAUGAUGGAUGCGGACCCCUGACAGCUGGAUAUUGUGUGAUGUAAGAAGCCCGGCCAUGGCCUAGAAGAAGCCAGAAGAAAUGGAAGAGGACUUUGACUUGAAUAGUAACAAAGGAAACUUUCUACAAGAGUAGCACAGGAUGUGAACAUCAGAUGGCAUUUUGUCUUUAAGCGCGUUUACCCUUCCCUUUGCUGAUUUGCUAAUUAUCAAGGAUGAUCUGCCAAUAGGGAGACAAAG